GACAGGUACAGUGGCAUGUGCCUAUAGUCCCAGCUACUCAGGAGGCUGAGGCAAGGGGACCUGAGCACAGGGGACAUGGGCUGUAGUAACCUAUACUGAUAGGGUGUCCACACUAAAUUCAACAUCAAUAUGGUGAUCUCCUGGGCACGAGGGACCACCAGGCUGCCUAAGGAGGAGUUAACCUGCCCAACUCAGAAACAGAACAAGUGAGUGCUCCCAUGUUGAUCAGUAGUGGGUUUGUGCCUGUGAAUCACCAUUGCACUCCAACCUGGGCAACUUAGCAAGACCCUGUCUCU
rnacentral:SRP_RNA from 1 species